rnacentral:rRNA from 1 species
AGCAGCCGCGGUAAUUCCAGCUCCAAUAGCGUAUAUUAAAGUUGUUGCAGUUAAAAAGCUCGUAGUUGAAUUUCGGGGUUCUACCGUUGGUCGGGCUAACCAGUCUGUACUAGCGUGUAGAAUUCCUACCUUCUGGGGAACCAUCAUGUUAUUAAUUUAGCGUGGUGGGAAACCAGGACCUUUACCUUGAAAAAAUUAGAGUGUUCAAAGCAGGUUUACGUCUGAAUACAUUAGCAUGGAAUAAUAAAAUAGGACGGUGGUCCUGUUUUGUUGGUUUCUGAAUCACCGUAAUGAUUAAUAGGGAUAGUUGGGGGCAUUAGUAUUCAAUUGUCAGAGGUGAAAUUCUUGGAUUUAUUGAAGACUAACUUCUGCGAAAGCAUUUGCCAAGGAUGUUUUCAUUAAUCAAGAACGAAAGUUAGGGGAUCGAAGACGAUCAGAUACCGUCGUAGUCUUAACCAUAAACUAUGCCGACUAGGGAUCGGACGAUGUUAAAUUUUAUUGACUCGUUCGGCGUCUUACG